rnacentral:misc_RNA from 1 species
GUCGUCUAGUUUCUCUUUAUAGGUACAUGAAUUGUUUUGUUCAAAUAUGUGGCAAUGCAUGCUGUACAGAUUUUAGGAAUCAUUUGUUUGAGUUACAUGGUUGAUAUGUUCAGUAACUUUCUUAUUACUGCAAUAUGAGGUUAAGGCUAUGGAUCAUGUAUUAGAAAAUAUGGCCUCGCAGAUAGAGUGGAAUCUUAUAACAGGAUCAUGUUACUGAAUUGCAAAAGUAUGGUAGAAGCAUUAAUCAGUUUGCUAUGCUCUUAAUUUUGAGUAUGCAUGUCACAGUAAUAUAGAUCUUUCAGAACAUUUGAAUACCUAUCUUUCAAAAGUUUUGCUGCUUGUACUACUUUGUAAUCAUCUAAAAUUGAGAAAUGAGAAAAGUGACGUAAUUGUUCUUGUGUUUCAGGACUUCUGCUAUUAUGCCAAUACUAUCUUCUUGGUUGAUCUUCUUUUAUACCCAAAAAAUGAAAAGCUUUUCAUGGUUUGCUUUUCAUUUGCUGAAGUAAGACAGUAGUGCUGGGGUAGUUUAUAUUUUUUUAUUUGAUGAAUGCUUUGUCUUCUACUCUUUUUGACUUAUUAAAAUGAUGCUGUAGGGGCCAUUAGCUUGGGCAUUGAUUGUUUGGCGUUGUAGCUUGGUUUUUAGUUCUGUUGACAAAAUUGUCAGUGUCCUUAUACAUCUUUUACCGGGUGAGUUGGUCAUUCCUCUAUUGAGUUACUUAAAAUAUAUUUUAAAAAGGUAUGAAUAUCUUUUUUCAGGAAAAUGAUUUAGUCUUUUGUAAGGUUAAGGGAUUAUUCAAGAUCAAUUUCUGUUAAAUGUUGCCAAAGAAGCUCAAGAUGGUUAAAUUGUGCAUGUAUUGUAAUGAGAUUAUUCAGAAGCCAGUGAUAACUAUAAUUCUGUUGAAUUUGAAGCUAACCAUUUUAGCAUAUUUCAAGGGAGAAACAUAUAAUUCCAUCAUUGAUUCAUAAAUCAGAAUCUCUCUAUCCAAACUUGCUGUUAUAAUCCUGUAUAAAACCUUGUUAGGUUUGGCUAUCUUAAGUGUUGUUGGCUGUUGAUAAGAUCUAUGCUAAUCUUCAACAAAUUUUUUAUUCCUGUCCUCAAGUGUCAUUGUGAGUAUGAAGUUUGUACUGCACAGGUACCCACUUGGGGUGAUUAGUGUUCUACAUUAAUGCUGAAGAAUUGUAUUUCUGGGUUGGUUGAAGAUUUUUGAACGGUGUUUGGAAUAUAGCUUCUUUUGCUGACUUUUGGAGAGAUUACCAAACUACAAGCCCUGCUAGUCCCCAAAGGUGUAAAAAAAAAAAAUAGUGAAUUAAUAGUAGUUUUGUAAUAAAAAAAAUUAGUUAAUAAAUUAUUUUUCAAAAUUGGCCCCCAAAUAAAUAAAUUUGUUCUACGAUCAUUAAGUUCAACAUAUGGAAGUUUAUUUUAUUAAGCAUUUAUAAUUUUUUUUUAAUUUUAUGACAAUUUUAUGUAUAUCCAAAGUGUUAAUUAUAGAUCCUUCCCUGUGUAUGUUUUUGUGUUGUGACAUCAGGUUGAUCUUUGAUAUAAUUUAAUGCUUUACUUCCAGGCUGAUUUUCUCCACUGAUAAAGCUAAUUUUUGCAUUAUAAAUAAAGUAAGAGGGAAAAGAUAAUAUAUGACAAUUUUUUCUUAGAUAAACUGAAAAUAGAGUUUGUGACAUUUUUUUUUUCUUUUUUAC